UACAGAGGGUGCAAGCGUUAAUCGGAAUUACUGGGCGUAAAGCGUGCGUAGACGGUUAUGUAAGUCGGGUGUGAAAGCCCCGGGCUCAACCUGGGAAUUGCAUUCGAGACUGCAUAGCUAGGGUGCGGAAGAGGGAAGCGGAAGUUUCCGGUGAUAGCGGUGAAAUGCGUAGAUAUCGGAAGGAACACCAGUGGCGAAAGCGGCUCCUGGUCCAGCACCGACGUCAGGCACGAAAGCGUGGGGAGCAAACAGG
rnacentral:rRNA from 1 species